CCAUCUUCAGCCUUCUUCUUGCCAUUGUCCUACAUUGGAGGGGAGAUUCGAGCCGUUUGAAGGAAGUUGUGAAAUCUUUCUUGAUUUCAAGGCUUCUUAGGACUUUAUUCAUCUUUCUUGCUAUUCUUUCUUCUUUAGUUGUUUCUGUUUAUGCCGAUUGGUUGAUUAAUUUGAUUUAAUUUCUCUUGUUGCGUUUUCAGCCAUUCCAAUCUUCAAGAAUUUGUUCGACACCAUUCUUG
rnacentral:lncRNA from 1 species